ACUCGAGUGGUUGAAAUUGGCAAUUAGAAAGAUAAGUCAUUUCCAAUAGUAAUUAUUAGUCUUAAAAAUGUUCUCAGCAUCAAGGAGUCAGGGUUGUUUAAUAUAAUGUAGUUUUAAAGAAUAUAUAAAUAUAUGUAAACAUAUGUAAUGCACAGUAUAUAUAGUAUAAAUGUAGUAAUGUGAGAAUGGGGGAAUCUGGUUCACAUUUCAAUGCAGUAGGUGGCGGUAAUGCACCUUUUACGAUAAAACCAAAAGAAGAAGAAGAUGAUUUCUGAGAAGUACACAACCAAGAUAAUAGAUUUGGGUCAUAUAAGACAGAUCCAAUUACGUAGCCGAUGCUGAGUCAUGAAACCUGGCCCCGCAAUGUCUCCCCGACAGACUGAAAGGAGGUAACGACCCACAUGCGCACUCAGCAUGAAUCAGAGGUCAGAAAAGACGUGACGCCGGCCCAGUGACGAGCAGUGAAGAGUGAUGGAUGCUGAAGAGGCAUUCAAAGAACAUGCAGCGUGCAACUCGAGAGAGAGAGAGAAGACUUCAGGAUGCGGUUAUGAGCGGACAGGAUGCACAGACCACAGGAGCAGGAAGUAAAAUUCAGAACUUACUCAAAGUCAUAAUCAAACAUGGCAGAAGGGCUG